CCUAAAACAAAAAGUGCUUGUCUUGGGGUGACUUUCUGAUGUGUAUGCCAUAUCACUGCCCUAUGCUCAGAAAUUAAUUAUUGUGCCUUUCUAUGCCUUUAAACUGAGCCUGAGAGGGGGAAGG